rnacentral:rRNA from 1 species
CACGAACGCUGGCGGCAGGCUUAACACAUGCAAGUCGAGCGCCCCGCAAGGGGAGCGGCAGACGGGUGAGUAACGCGUGGGAAUCUACCCAUCUCUACGGAAUAACGCAUGGAAACGUGUGCUAAUACCGUAUACGUCCUUCGGGAGAAAGAUUUAUCGGAGAUGGAUGGGCCCGCGUUGGAUUAGCUAGUUGGUGGGGUAAAGGCCUACCAAGGCGACGAUCCAUAGCUGGUCUGAGAGGAUGAUCAGCCACACUGGGACUGAGACACGGCCCAGACUCCUACGGGAGGCAGCAGUGGGGAACAUUGGACAAUGGGCGCAAGCCUGAUCCAGCCAUGCCGCGUGAGUGAUGAAGGCCCUAGGGUUGUAAAGCUCUUUCACCGGUGAAGAUAAUGACGGUAACCGGAGAAGAAGCCCCGGCUAACUUCGUGCCAGCCGCCGCCGUAAUAC